GACAAAAGACAAGUGAGAGGUUGAAGAGAAUGAGCUUUCUGUCCAAGGGCUGGCACAUCUAAUAUGCACUAUUAGGUAGGAGUGAUGGAGCUGAGAAAGAAUUACUGGCAAAUGCUGUUGACCUUAAACCCUGAGUCCUUAGUGGAAAGAAUACUGACUGGCAUUGAAAAACCCAGGUCCAGGUCUCAGCCCUGCCACAAACUGGCUUUGUGACCUAGGGUAAGUUACAUCAUAUCAGCAUUUUUCCACCAGUGGUUUGGUAAGGUACUGAGGUGUUAGCCAAGCUUGAGAUACUGUUAAUCCCCACAUCAGUUUUUGUCCUUCCUUCUGUCAUCAAGAGAUGGUAUUCCUGUCCCAGAAAGCAUCAGCGGAGAACAAACAUUUUUAAAUAAGAAUGCUCCACCCUCCUAUGUUUGUGUUGGUGGGAGAAAGAGGAAACAGGCACCAAAGGCAUGAGUAAGGCCCUUCCCUUCUCCCUGCAGGCCUCAAGCAACCCAAACUGUAUGCUGAACAGUUAGCAGUGAUCCCAGGGAAGUAGAAUUAGUAUCUAAGACUUAGGAAAAUAUUCCUUUUUUCAUGAAGGCUUUUUAUUUGGAAGAUUAACUAUCCCUGAGAACUCACUCCCUUGAUUGGAGAGAGAGAUAGUAGUUACAUACGUGCUUCUGCAGCAGCUGGAUGCACAGAGAAACCUGUAAGACAUGCAGAAUUAAAUAUGUCCUCUGCGACUCUGGAAAGGACCUCUGGAAGCUUGCAGUGGUGUCCUUUUACUGUGUCCCAUGUUUUUGUGUACUGACUGCCUUAAUAAUGAAUCAGUCAGGACUAUAACUACAUGCUGAGUCCUGUGAGCCCUCCCAAGUCCCAUCCUGGAUUUCAAUGCAAGCCUCAGUACCCAACUUGAAGGACCCUUAUAUGUUGUGGAGACCAACUCUUGAUGGAGGAGCAUCUCUCAGGCAGUUCUAUGGAACAGCGUUAGAGUAAACUGAGGAAUGACCAGGGACACCAAGUCAGGAAGAAGUUUGACAAACAGAUCAGCAGGAUGGUCAUGCCAGCGCUGAACCUCUUUAAUCUUGAGCAGAGACCUGAACAUUUUGCUUGCC